UAGACCAGCGAGAUUCACCUGUGUUUCAAGUUGUGUUCAUUCACCUGUUAAGGCAAGGGCUGAAGAUACACUGACAAUGUCCACUUUAUCUUUUUGGUCUUAAAUAUGCCAAUUUAAUUAAAAUUCUCCAUCUAAAAUAUUGCGUUUUACUUAAUGAAGGGCAUUUUAGUGUGGUUUAUGCAUAGCAUCAGAUAAAGAAUAUUUAGUACUUCUCACAUUUUAUAGAUGAUCUUUAAGAUCAGAUGCUUUUAAAAUUCACUGUGACAUGAUAGGUUGGGAAACUUGCUUGUGAAUUCUUUACAAAGUCAGACGAAGUUAUAAUUCAGGAUUGUCUUUUAAACAGGUAUUCAGAAACACAACUGUAGGACUACUGUAGAUGUGUGAUUGGUAAUGAUGCUUUUGCCAACUCAGAAGGGUUAAGGUAGAGGAGCUAUAUCAUUAGCACAGAUUUGUAAAUUAUCUGAUCAUAAGGCUUGAGAAUUAAAAACAAAGUCACAGAUCAUGAUUUUUCUAAUGUGCUUGAUUUAAUGACGUACCAAGAUGGUUGAAAAAUAUAAUACCUCAAAAUACGCAGCAUUGUUACUAGUCAUAGUACUAGAUUGUGUUUACUUGGUCUUCUAGGACAGCCUGCCCUGGAACACUUCAGUAAUCCACCCGGUUUCUUUGGCCAGAAUGAGCACUGCAGCAUUUAUGCCAAAUGUAGAAAGAAGAAUGUGUUUCUGGCCAUAGUAUUGUGGUUCAUUUGCCCAACUCGCAGCAAGCCAAAUGCUGAGACGCCAAGGUUUGCAGCAGAGAAACGAUUUAUACACAAGGCAGCCAAGCGAGGAGACGGGAGAACAAGUCUUAAAUCCACUUUCAUGAAGUCCGGCUAAUACAUGAAGAGGGAAUGUCAUCAUUUCCCAAUCCUCGGUGAAUUAAUGGACCUGGGUGAUAAUUAUCAAUGAUGGUUAACAUCACAAAAAAUGCAGCAGACACUUGGCUAUUGUGUGCUUCCUAACGGGAGUACAGAGCACCACCUAUGACUUCUUCUUGCCGAAACAGCAGAUCCUGAAACUGACGAAGACUCCAGAUCCAACUGCUUUACAAGAAAUACAGGGGACAAAGGAACAUUCUGAAGGAGGCAAUGGGCAAAAUCUGAACUGUGCAGAACUCCACAGAACAAAUGACAUACAUGAUUUAAAAAAUACAAAACACAACAAAACAACCUCUAAGAACAACAAAAGAUGGAGGGGGAACUUCCUGUUGGAAGGCUUAGAAACAUCAACCAAUUGCAGUGUGUAAGUUUUUUGUUUUGUUUUGUUUUGUUUGCGGUACGCGGGCCUCUCACUGCUGUGGCCUCUCCCGUUGCGGACCACAGGCUCCGGACGUGCAGGCUCAGCGGCCAUGGCUCACGGGCCCAGCCGCUCCGCGGCAUGUGGGAUCCUCCCGGACCGGGGCACGAACCCGUGUCCCCUGCAUCGACAGGCGGACUCCCAACCACUGUGCCACCAGGGAAGCCCUAGUGUUCUCUAGAUCCAUCCAUGUCUCUACAAAUGACCCAAUUUAAUUCCUUUUUACGGCUGAGUAAUAUUCCAUUGUAUAUAUGUACCACAUCUUCUUUAUCCAUUUGUCUGUCGAUGGGCAUUUAGGUUGCUUCCAUGACCUGGCUAUUGUAAAUAGUGCUGCAAUAAACAUUGGGGUGCACGUGUCUUUUUGAAUUAUUGUUUUCUCUGGGUAUAGGCCCAGUAGUGGGAUUGCUGGAUCAUAUGGUAAUUCUAUUUUUAGUUUUUUA